UACGGAGGGUGCAAGCGUUGUUCGGAAUUACUGGGCGUAAAGCGCGUGUAGGCGGUCUACUAAGUCUGGUGUGAAAGCCCGGGGCUCACCCCCGGAAGUGCACUGGAUACUGGGAGACUGGAGUACCGGAGAGGAGGGUGGAAUUCCUGGUGUAGCGGUGAAAUGCGUAGAUAUCAGGAAGAACACCGGUGGCGAAGGCGGACCUCUGGACGGAUACUGACGCUGAGACGCGAAAGCGUGGGGAGCAAACAGG
rnacentral:rRNA from 1 species